rnacentral:rRNA from 1 species
CGGUGUUUUAGUCCAUUCAGAGGAAUCUGUCUUUUAAUUGAUAAUACACGAUUGGUUGUACUUAAAUUUGUUUUCAGUUUAUAUACCGUCGUCAUAAGAAUAUUUUGAAAGAAAAUUAAAUUUCUUAAUUUUAUAUUGAAUAAUAUGUCAGAUCAAGGUGUAAUUUAUGUUUAAGUUUGGAUGGGUUACAAUAAAUGUAUUUAUAUGAAUUAAUAAUUUAAUUGUUAUUAUGAAGGUGGAUUUGAUUGUAAAUUAUAUUAAUUAUUAUUUUUGAUUUU